rnacentral:rRNA from 1 species
GAUGAACGCUGGCGGCGUGCCUAAUACAUGCAAGUCGAGCGAACGGACGAGAAGCUUGCUUCUCUGAUGUUAGCGGCGGACGGGUGAGUAACACGUGGAUAACCUACCUAUAAGACUGGGAUAACUUCGGGAAACCGGAGCUAAUACCGGAUAAUAUUUUGAACCGCAUGGUUCAAAAGUGAAAGACGGCCUUGCUGUCACUUAUAGAUGGAUCCGCGCUGCAUUAGCUAGUUGGUAAGGUAACGGCUUACCAAGGCAACGAUGCAUAGCCGACCUGAGAGGAUGAUCGGCCACACUGGAACUGAGACACGGUCCAGACUCCUACGGGAGGCAGCAGUAGGGAAUCUUCGGCAAAGGGCGCAAGCCUGACGGAGCAACGCCGCGUGAGUGAUGAAGGUCUUCGGAUCGUAAAACUCUGUUAUUGGGGAAGAACAUAUGUGUAAGUAACUGUGCACAUCUUGACGGUACCUAAUCAGAAAGCAACGGCUAACUACGUG